rnacentral:rRNA from 1 species
GACGAACGCUGGCGGCGUGCUUAACACAUGCAAGUCGAACGGAAAGGCCCUGCUUUUGUGGGGUGCUCGAGUGGCGAACGGGUGAGUAACACGUGAGUAACCUGCCCUUGACUUUGGGAUAACUUCAGGAAACUGGGGCUAAUACCGGAUAGGAGCUCCUGCUGCAUGGUGGGGGUUGGAAAGUUUCGGCGGUUGGGGAUGGACUCGCGGCUUAUCAGCUUGUUGGUGGGGUAGUGGAUUACCAAGGCUUUGACGGGUAGCCGGCCUGAGAGGGUGACCGGCCACAUUGGGACUGAGAUACGGCCCAGACUCCUACGGGAGGCAGCAGUGGGGAAUAUUGCACAAUGGGCGGAAGCCUGAUGCAGCAACGCCGCGUGCGGGAUGACGGCCUUCGGGUUGUAAACCGCUUUCGCCUGUGACGAAGCGUGAGUGACGGUAAUGGGUAAAGAAGCACCGGCUAACUACGUGC